rnacentral:rRNA from 1 species
UACGGAGGGGGCUAGCGUUGUUCGGAAUUACUGGGCGUAAAGCGCACGUAGGCGGCUUUGUAAGUUAGAGGUGAAAGCCCGGGGCUCAACUCCGGAAUUGCCUUUAAGACUGCAUCGCUAGAAUUGUGGAGAAGUAAGUGGAAUUCCGAGUGUAGAGGUGAAAUUCGUAGAUAUUCGGAAGAACACCAGUGGCGAAGGCGACCCCCUGGUUGGAUACUGACGCUGAUACGCGAAAGCGUGGGGAGCAAACAGG